CUAGGUUGGUCAUAACUUUUCUUCCAAGGAGUAAGCAUCUUUUAAUUAGAAAAAGAUUAGAUCUCAAAUAACUGAGAUACAGUUAUGUGUUAAAUAAUAGAAUUUUAAGGUAAAUCAUUAUUUUCUGUCACAUACAGAAAUUGUUCAAAUGUUAAGUGUAUAUCUCUAUGAAUUUCCUUAAUGAGGUGCACAAUUUAACCAUCUCCAAAAUCAGAUAACAAGACAUGCAAACACUCCAAAAAGUCUCUCAGGCACUACUCCUUUCUUCCCCCAAAGUAACCAUAAUCUGACUUUAACAUUAAAAAGUUAAUUUUGCCUUUUUUGAACUUACAUAACUGGAUUUGUAAGUACCUAUUCUUUUGCUUCUGGCUUCCCUCACUCACAGUAUGCUUGUGAGAGAAGUAUUUCAAUAAUUUUCCUUGCUGUGUAGCAUCGGUUAUAUGAAUAUACACUAAAUGAUUUAUCAAUUCCAUUGCUGAACAAGGAGUAGUUUGUGUUCAACAUGGUGGCUGUUAUAAAAAAGUAGAGCAGGGAACAUUUGGUACAUGCCUUUUGGUGCACACAGAUAGUGUUUCUAUUGGCAUUAUGUUUCCGGGUACGUACGAUUCUGGAGUCACACGUGUGCAUAUGUUCAACUGUAUACAAAUUUACGCUUCUCCCAUGGGUGAAUGGAGAUUUCUGUUGUUCUUAUUUUUAUAUUCUAGCUGACUUUCUAUUGCCAGGCCUUUCUUUCUCUCUUCCUUCUUUCUUUCCUUUUCUUUUUGUAGGAUUAUUUAAUAAUCAGUAUUCUUGUAGAUGUGCAGUGAUAUCUCAUUGUGAUUUUAAAAUAUAUUUUCCUCAUUAUUAAUGAUAUUUAGAACUUCCUAUGUACUCUGGCUAUUUAAUAUAUCUUCUUUUAUGAAGUAUAGCAAGAUUUGUAAAAAGAGAAAUAAAUAGAUAAAGUUAGACAGGUGAAAAUAAAAACAGGACAACUCAGUUCAAAGUCAGUGGUAAAUAUAUUAUCUAGAAAUUUGUUACUAGUGCCUACUCACAUUUGGAUUAAACUUCCUGGCGGUCAGAAAAAAAAAAAAGUGAUGUACAAUAAAUUAUUUACUUGACGGCUUUUUCUUGCACCAAUCUUAGGAAAAUUUUGUUCCGUGGAUUUUUAUAAAGGUAAUCCCAUAAGCAACGUUCCUGAAACAAAUAUGUUAGCCACUUCAUUUAACUAGUGCUCUAAGUAUCCCUUUAUUCAAACUUAGAACCAUUAUUUACAUUAGGAGUUUGGUGUACCUAGUUGUACAGAUCUCUAUAGAGUUAUAGAGCUAUGAACAUGUGAACUCACAGAAAGGUAAAGACUGUACUGCUAGAUAUUAUCUUAGUACUAUAAAUAUCAAUCAGCAAUCUUACAAGGAUAUUUGUAAAGUAAAAAUAACUGUUCAGGAAAAUUUAGUCAGUGUGUAAUAUGUCCUAAAAUGUUGUCUGCUACAGUAUACAUUAGCUAUAUGUAAUUAUUUGUUUGAUGUACUUAAAUACAUUUAAAAAUUAGGUUUCUUAGUUAUACUAUACAUAGUUCACAGUCAAUAGCUACAGCUGGACUUUGAUUACUAUAUGGGAAAGCAUAUGUAUAAAAUGUUUCCAUUACUGCAGGGAAAUCUAUUGAUACAACUAUUCUAAAGGUUUAAAAAUGUUGUUGUUGGAGUUUAUAGGUUAAUUAUUUGUUAUACAAAAGGUAAGAUGAAAGUUGGUCGACACUGAGAAUUUUCCUUAAAUGAAAGGCUUUCCUUUUCAAAUUAAAGCAACAGCAUUGAAAUAUUAUCAGUUGUUUCUUUCAGAUAUUUUUUUAUCCAUUAAAAAAUGCCUGUGAAGACAUCAAGAGCAUAUAAUUUUUUUAAUUUAAAUUUAUUUAUUUUAAUUGGAGGCUAAUUACUU
rnacentral:lncRNA from 1 species